rnacentral:rRNA from 1 species
AUAUUGGUCAAUGGGCGCGAGCCUGAACCAGCCAAGUAGCGUGAAGGAUGACUGCCCUACGGGGUGUAAACUUCUUUUAUAAAGGAAUAAAGCGAGGCACGUGUGCCUUUUUGUAUGCACUUUAUGAAUAAGGAUCGGCUAACUCCGUGCCAGCAGCCGCGGUAAUACGGAGGAUCCGAGCGUUAUCCGGAUUUAUUGGGUUGAAAGGGAGCGUAGAUGGGUUGUUAAGUCAGUUGUGAAAGUUUGCGGCUCAACCGUAAAAUUGCAAUUGAUACUGGCAGUCUUGAGUACAGUUGAGGUAGGCGGAAUUCGUGGUGUAGCGGUGAAAUGCUUAGAUAUCACGAAGAACUGCGAUUGCGAAGGCAGCUUACUAAACUGCCACUGACAUUGAUGCUCGAAAGUGUGGGUAUCAAACAGG